GUCGCCUGGUGAGGCUCUGGAGGAGGGUGCGACGGAUAUAGGGACUCGAGGUCCGCCGCGGGAAUGAUCCACGAACUGCUCUUGGCUCUGAGCGGGUAUCCAGGGUCCAUUUUCACCUGGAACAAGCGAAGUGGCCUGCAGGUGUCACAGGACUUCCCAUUUCUCCAUCCCAGUGAAACCAGUGUCCUGAAUCGACUCUGCCGGCUGGGCACAGACUACAUUCGUUUCAUCGAGUUCACUGAACAGUACACGGGCCAUGUGCAGCAGCAGGAUCACCAUCCAUCUCAGCAGGGCCAAGGUGGGUCACAUGGAAUCUACCUAAGGGCCUUCUGCACGGGGCUGGAUUCAGUUUUGCAGCCUUAUCGCCAAGCACUGCUUGAUUUGGAACAAGAGUUCCUGGCUGACCCCCAUCUCUCCAUAUCACAUGUCAAUUACUCCUUAGAUCAGUUCCAGCUCCUUUUCCCCUCUGUGAUGGUUGUAGUAGAACAAAUUAAAAGUCAAAAGAUUCAUGGUUGUCAAAUCCUGGAAACAGUGUACAAACACAGCUGUGGAGGUUUGCCUCCUGUUCGCAGUGCACUAGAAAAAAUCCUGGCCGUGUGUCACGGGGUCAUGUACAAGCAGCUCUCAGCCUGGAUGCUACAUGGACUCCUCUUGGACCAGCACGAAGAGUUCUUUAUCAAACAGGGUCCAUCUUCUGGUAGUGUCAGUGCCCAGCCAGAAGAGGAUGAGGAGGAUCUGGGCAUUGGGGGACUGACAGGAAAACAACUGAGAGAACUCCAGGACUUGCGCCUGAUAGAAGAAGAGAACAUGCUGGCACCGUCUCUAAAGCAGUUUUCUCUGCGAGUGGAGACUCUGCCAUCCUACAUUCCAGUGAGGGUUGCUGAAAAAAUCCUGUUUGUUGGAGAAUCUGUCCAGAUGUUCGAGAAUCAAAAUGUAAACCUGACUAGGAAAGGAUCCAUUUUGAAAAACCAGGAGGACACUUUUGCUGCAGAGCUGCAUCGUCUCAAGCAGCAACCCCUCUUCAGCCUGGUGGACUUUGAGCAGGUGGUGGAUCGUAUACGUAGUACUGUGGCUGAGCAUCUCUGGAAGCUGAUGGUGGAAGAGUCAGAUUUACUGGGUCAGCUGAAGAUCAUUAAAGACUUUUACCUUCUGGGACGUGGAGAACUGUUUCAGGCCUUCAUUGAUACAGCUCAACACAUGUUAAAAACACCACCCACUGCAGUAACUGAACAUGAUGUGAAUGUGGCCUUCCAACAGUCAGCACACAAGGUGCUGCUAGAUGAUGACAACCUCCUCCCUCUGUUGCACUUAACAAUCGAGUAUCAUGGAAAGGAGCAUAAAGAUGCUACUCAGGCAAGAGAAGGGCCUUCUCGGGAAACUUCUCCCCGGGAAGCCCCCGCAUCCGGCUGGGCAGCCCUAGGUCUUUCCUAUAAAGUGCAGUGGCCACUACACAUUCUCUUCACACCUGCUGUCCUGGAAAAGUACAAUGUCGUUUUCAAGUACUUGUUGAGUGUGCGCCGGGUACAAGCUGAGCUGCAGCACUGCUGGGCCCUACAGAUGCAGCGCAAGCACCUCAAGUCCAACCAGACCGACGCAGUCAAGUGGCGCCUAAGAAAUCACAUGGCCUUCUUGGUGGAUAAUCUUCAGUACUACCUCCAGGUUGACGUGCUGGAGUCUCAGUUCUCACAGCUGCUUCAUCAAAUCAAUUCUACCCGAGACUUUGAAAGCAUCCGAUUGGCUCAUGACCACUUCCUGAGCAAUUUGCUGGCCCAGUCCUUUAUCUUGUUGAAACCUGUGUUUCACUGCCUGAAUGAAAUCUUAGAUCUCUGCCACAGCUUUUGCUCGCUGGUCAGUCAGAACCUGGGCCCACUGGAUGAACGUGGGGCCGCCCAGCUGAGCAUCCUGGUGAAGGGUUUUAGCCGCCAGUCUUCACUCCUAUUCAAGAUUCUCUCCAGUGUUCGCAAUCAUCAGAUCAACUCGGAUUUGGCUCAACUACUGUUACGACUAGAUUAUAACAAAUAUUACACCCAGGCUGGUGGCACUCUGGGCAGUUUCGGGAUGUGAGAAUUUCUGGUCCACAAACUAAGUAAGUCAAUCACCUGCGUUGUAACAGAAGAUUCAAAACAAACAUCCCAUUCUCUGGCCAGACACUGUAUGUAUGUCUGCAGCUACUGGAAAAGCUCUACCUUUUCUCCUAGAAGCAGUUAUUGAACAUCCAUGGAUACAAAUCCUCCCCCCUCCUUCCCAUGUGGAAGGGGCACCUGCCCCACCUUAGGGGAGUUCUUAACUCAUCCACCAAGGAGGACUUGUGGCGUCAGCCCUCCCUCUGCUGACCAUGCAGGAUCUGUUACAUUGAGAACAUUCAUGUUCGUUUACUGAGCACUUAUGUGCCUAGGUACUGUUCAAACUGGGAGAGACACAGCAGUAAGCUAUACAGAUCAGAACGUUAAAGGCUCAUGUGAAAAAGGAAUUACAUUUAUUAAUAAGUCAAAUUCUGGAUGUUACCACUGAGCAAGAAAGGCACCAGCUGUCCUUCUACAGUGAACAAGCCCAUUGAAAACUGCAGAGAAGGUACUAUGUUUGUCUUGCUAUUUGUUGAGAUGAUUAAGCUCAAAGAAAUGGAUGAAGAAAUCCCAGUUACUACAACCAGAGAUUCAACAUUUAUUUUAUCAUAAAAGUCCAGCAAAUAAAAGUAUAUACAAGAUCCAUGCAAGGAGUCCGGUUACACACAAGACACAUUUAAAACCUGGUUAAAACACAGUCUCCACAACACCAGGGAAUAAAACCGGUAAGACCGAGUAUCCUUAGUGAGAAACAUAAUCGUGUUUAUAUUUUGGAUGCUGCUUGAAUCCAAUUCUCUGCCCAACAAUGAGGCACUGGAUCACCCACUCUUGUGACACCACAGGCAGCUGCAAUGCUUCAGCACACUUCAGCACCGAGGCUGGGCACGAGGGGUCCGUCACCACCACAUCAAAUACCCCUAAAGCAAUAUCUGCAGGAAGCAGGGGAAGGUGAGUGAGGAAAGGAGACUCAAUUUAGCCCUCCAGUAAAAAGAUAGAUGAGCCUUCUCACCAGUAUAUCCCGCUCUGCCCAAACUAAAGCCCUUCAUGUCAAACACAGUGGCACUGAUCACAACCAAAAGUGAAAAGUCACAAUCACUAUACGCUGGCCUUGAGUUUAGCAGGUAUACCGGUGGACACCAGGAGACCAUAAACAGCCCGGUGCGUCACUCAUGUUGGCUCACCUCUUGAAGGUGGUACUCUUCUUCUCUUAGAAACACGGGUAAGGUCACCCUAUCAGGACUGAGACUUAGACCACAAGGCCUAAGUGCCACGGGUCAUGGACAUCCUUGGAGCAAUAACAACACACACACACUUUCCAGGUACCUUUGUUAUGGGCACUUGAAUGGUGCUGCUUCACAGAGGCUGCCCCCCCAGUCAUGAGGAUCUCAGACCAGAGCUCCAGGAAGUUCUGCUGUUGGUCUGAUACCAAGAGUACCUUCAGAUUCUGGAAAGGGUUUUCACGGGGUUGCCUACGAAGGAGUCAGAGAAACAGCACGACAGAUAAUUAAUAGCCAAUGACAGCCUUUCUGCAAAGGGACGCAGGUACAGCUGACUGCUUUCAAUAGCCCUGCAUUAGGGUAUCACCCCCCCCCCCACCCCGCUUCCCUCUUUCUCUGAAUGAUGUGUCUUUUCUGGGAUCCUGACCUUCUCAUCUACCCCUUCUGAUUUCCAUGUUUUUCCUGAGGCCAAGUAUAAGCCAAAUCAUGCUCCUGAGCCUGUAUUUUUAAACGUGUUGCUUAAAACAAGUUGAGAAUAUUGAAUCUAUGUGAAAAUCUCACACGUUUUCAAAAGGUCCCUAACCAAUAUACUCUAGGAUAACAAACUAGAUGAACUGCUAAAAUAAUCUCAAACCCACUCAAAUUCUGUAAUUUAUCCUAUGAUCAUUCUAGUUUCUAGAAAUAUUUACUCUCCUAGAUUCUCCCCCUCUGGAAGCUUGCUGUCUUCCUGUCUGCCAUUCUAGAUGGGCUCUCAGCUACUCACCAAUCCAGAAUUCUUUGCUCCUCGAGGCUGUACCCAGCUGGCAGCAGAUAAUUGCGGUAAUUCUGGAGCUGGUUGGCAUGGCAACUAUCAUGGACCCAGACAUGAGACACACAAGGAAUCCCACUGGCAAGGCACAGGAAGUACUUCCGGGUUCGACAAUGCUGAUCCGCAAUUAGGAGACACUGGUAGGCUGUAUUACACUGGAAGAAAAGGAACGGCACCCAUGGGUCUAGUGACUUCUGGGGAAAGCCCCUGAAUAGCAGCCUUAAUGAGUCAUAGAGAACAGAUCUGAACACUUCCAUAUACUAUCCAAAAUGUGACUGAGUCUGUCCUUCUGCCCACGGCCUCUUCUCUCACUAAAAAGCCCAAGUAGCUUCCCUAGAUAAUCUCCCUGCCUCACCUGCAGCUUUCUAGGGGCCUAAAUCCUCAAGGGACAACCAAACCCCAAGUAUUUAGCCAACACUGUAAUAGGGAUUGCUAUUAAACACCAAUUUUAAUCUGCUUUUGUCCCAGCAACAGAACCACAGCUAUUAAGUAACCCAAGGUUCUAACUUCUCUUCCUUGUACACAGUAAAAAUUCUGUUUCAUGCAACAAUGUUUUGGCAGUUUCCCAGUUCCUGAAAUCUCUAGCGACUGUAUCCAUUGUCCCCGGCCCCUAUCAGCCUUCUUCUCGGUACAGCAAGUGGACUCUUCUCAUCACUGCCCCUUUGGGAAUCUACACAAAGAAACUCCUCACCUGGGCUUCAUUGAAGUCUUCGAGAAUAUAGCCAGCUCCUGCUCGAAGCUGGGAUUCUGUGUAUUGCUUGUUGAAAGGAGGAAUUUCUAAAAAUUCUAUUAAAGAGACAUAACCACGAUAA